UACAGAGGUCUCAACCGUUGUUCGGAUUCAUUGGGCGUAAAGGGUGCGUAGGCGGUCGGGGAAGUCGGAUGGGAAAUCCCAGGGCUCAACCCUGGAACUGCAUUCGAUACUGCCUGGCUAGGGUACUGGAGAGGAGACUGGAAUUUACGGUGUAGCAGUGAAAUGCGUAGAUAUCGUAAGGAAGACCAGUGGCGAAGGCGAGUCUCUGGACAGUUACCGACGCUGAGGCACGAAGGUCAGGGGAGCAAACGGG
rnacentral:rRNA from 1 species